AAAAAGACAAACCCUGGUUUCCGUGUCCAACGUUUGACCGUCCGUCUUAUUAAAAAAACUAUAAAAAAAUUAAAAAGAUAAGUCACACAUAAAGUAUUAAUCAUGUUUUAUCAUCUAACAACAAUGAGAAUACUAAUUAUAAAAAAAUUUCAUAUAAGACGGAUAGUCAAACAUUGACACGGAAACCUAGGGUUUGUCUUUUU
rfam:Oryza sativa Japonica Group DNA, chromosome 3, cultivar: Nipponbare, complete sequence.